ensembl:lncRNA
GUAAUUGCUUUGUUUAAGGUGUAAUUAUAUUUUAGUAGAUUUGUUUGGCCCAAGUAACUCAUAGUAUACAUGAAAUAGAAAUGUGAUGUCUAGGAUAUUUGUUCAACUUGCAUCAAGCACUGCAAGCUUGUUUUGGGAAACUAACUGAAUACAUAGAAGAAAGGAAUGAUAGGAUAGGUGCACUUCCCACUUCUUGAAACUUAACCUGCAAGAUGUGUUGCAUCUCUUGUUACAAGCCUCUGAUUUCCCCUGCAGCCUGACCACCAGGAUUUAUCUACACCAAUCUAGCUGUGUACAUGAACUAUGGAUGGGACUAUAUGUGUAAGAUAGAGGAAAAUGUUUGCUCAUAUCUACAUUAGCACUGUUUUUACUUGGAAAAGAAGCACUUGGGAAUCAUCAUCAGCAUGACAUUCCUGGGUGCUUGGGUAAGAGUCGUGUGCAGUACCCCCUGAGAUGGCUAUCUCCCUCGAGGUAAGCCCAUAAAAAAGACUGUUUCCUGACCAUUAAGCUCCAGCUUCUCUCUCUCUUGUUGCCCCUGGCCUUGUCCAUCUGUGUCCCUUAGACAAAGGAUUUCUCAACCCUUGACCAGGACCUGCUUGGAGUUGUUCAUCUGUGUCCCUCAGCAAGCUUUGAGACGAUGAUGCAAAAUAAUAAUCUUUGGACCUGCUCCAGCACCUCAAUGUCCUUUCUGUAUUGAGGUGCCCAAAACUGGACACAGUACACCGCACUGGUGAGGUGAGGCCACACCUGUGCUGAGUACAGGGGCAAGAUUAUGUCCCUAGUCUUGCUCACCACACCAUUCCUGAUACAAGCCAGAAUGCCAUUGGCCUUCUUGGCCACAUGAGCACACUGCUGGC